CAAGCAAGGCAAGUUCAACUGGGUUCCUUGGCAGCUGAAAUCUACCCGGCCCCUGCAGGGAGCGGUGGAGAAAAAAAGAGUCAAAUGUGUUUUGGAUGAAGGAUUCAUAUAUACUCAACAUGAUGCUCCUUGUGGUUGUACCUUGAGGCCAAAGACACAUUUUUGAGGAAGAUGUUACAGGUCACAUGUGGGGCAUAUUGAUCUUGAUGAGAAAAUUCACUCAGAGAAUAGUCAAGAAAGCGAUAUAGUGGAAACAAAGCUAUGUAUAUGGCAAGGAAGGUAUUCAAGAAAAGGCUCUGCUCCAUUUCAAAAGAGAUUGCCUUGUGCCCCAUUUGUUGGCCUUUGGAUCAAACCGGCAACAGACCUCACAGAUAGAAUUCCACCAUUGGCCAUUCAUAAAGAGGCACUCUUGACGUAAAAGGUCCUCAGCACUUUCUUCCUGAUGGAGAUGAGCUCCACCUGAGUCCGCUCCUACUUGGGACCAUCCAUGAAAGAGUCCAAAGAAAAGUCUCACCAUUCUAAUCAUGAGACCUCCUCUGAAAAUACCUCCUCUUCAAGAACUAUCUAAAAUGUAUUUUCAAGCCCAGCCUGGAACUAGAACAAGAAAAGCAAGCACUAAGAAUGCGGCAGUGGAGAAGGGAAAGCAGAACCUUUGCUUCAGGGAGCUUACCUCCUGGCAGGGAGGAACCGUAGAGCCGAAAGCA